rnacentral:rRNA from 1 species
CGACUGUUUACUUAAAACACAGGGCUGUGCGAAGCCGUAAGGCGACGUAUACAGUCUGACGCCUGCCCGGUGCUGGAAGGUUAAAAGGAGGGGUGCAAGCUCUGAAUUGAAGCCCCAGUAAACGGCGGCCGUAACAAUAACGGUCCUAAGGUAGCGAAAUUCCUUGUCGGGUAAGUUCCGACCUGCACGAAUGGCGUAACGAUCUCCCCGCUGUCUCUGAUGUGGACUCAGCGAAAUUGAACUGUGUGUCAAGAUGCACACUACCCGCGGUUAGACGGAAAGACCCCAUGCACCUUUACUCUAGCUUCGCACUGGCAUCAGGAUUGUGAUGUGCAGGAUAGGUGGUAGGCUUUGAAGCGGGGACGCAAGUCUUCGUGGAGCCACCCUUGAGAUACCACCCUUCGCACUCUUGAUGUCUAACCGCGGCCCGUU